GAGGGUAUAGCUCAGUGGUAGAGUACGUGCGUAGCAUGCAAAACAUGCUGGGUUCAAUCCCCAGUAUCUCCA
rnacentral:tRNA from 1 species